rnacentral:rRNA from 1 species
CUGUCCGAGUUGUAGAUGAGAAGAGUAGGCCAUCUGGGCUGCAUGGUGUCCAAGUACAAUAGGCCGUCAGUGGGACAUCAUAGAGGGUGACAAUCCCGUCCUUGACACCAAUGUACGAGUCCUUUACGAUGCCUAUCUCGGAGAGUCGAGCAGUUUGGGAUUUGCUGCUUAAACAUGGGAGGUAGAUUCCUUCCAAAGCUAAAUACAGGCAAGAGACCGAUAGAGAACAAGUACCGCAAGGGAAAGAUGAAAUAGAACUCUGUGAAGGGAGUCAAAAGACGUGAAAUUGUUGCGAGAGAAGCGAUUCAAGUCAGCGUAGCUGGACCCAUCAAGCCUCGCGCUUUGGACCAGCUUUGCCAGCGGUCUUGUCCCUAGAGACUUGACUAAGGUGCCCUGCCCGGUCUGACGGGCAGACCUCCCCUGGAGGCCAGUGGCAUGGCUGGUGGAAUGGCUUGCAAUCGACCCGUCUUGAAACACGGACCAAGGAGUCUAACAUGCAUGCGAGUAUAAGGGUGGCAAACCCGUAUGCGCAAAGAAAGUGAUAGCCUUUUAUGGCCGAGAAUGACCUGAUGACUAGACAAGCAAUAUUAUGUUCCUCGUACGGUCAUUGCCCAAGUCCCAUAUGGUUAGAUCCCAUGGACAUGGAGUUGGAGCGUGCAUGCUAGGACCCGAAAGAUGGUGAACUAUGCCUGGACAAAGCGAAGCCAAAGGAAACUCUGGUGGAGGCUUGUAGCGAUUCUGACGUGCAAAUCGAU